GAUGAACGCUAGCUACAGGCUUAACACAUGCAAGUCGAGGGGUCUCGAAGGAGCUUGCUCCAAGAGACGACCGGCGCACGGGUGAGUAACGCGUAUCCAACCUGCCCUUCAUAUUGGGAUAGCCUUCCGAAAGGAAGAUUAAUACCGAAUAACAUGAAAGAGUUGCCUGAUUCUCUCAUGAAAGCUCCGGCGAUGAAGGAUGGGGAUGCGUUCCAUUAGGUAGUAGGCGGGGUAACGGCCCACCUAGCCCACGAUGGAUAGGGGUUCUGAGAGGAAGGUCCCCCACACUGGAACUGAGACACGGACCAAACUCCUACGGGAGGCAGCAGUGAGGAAUAUUGGUCAAUGGGCGGGAGCCUGAACCAGCCAAGUAGCGUGAAGGAUGACUGCCCUACGGGUUGUAAACUUCUUUUGUUUGGGAAUAAAAGACGCUACGUGUAGCGUUGUGCAUGUACCUUACGAAUAAGCAUCGGCUAAUUCCGUG
rnacentral:rRNA from 1 species